AUUGAACGCUGGCGGCAUGCCUUACACAUGCAAGUCGAACGGUAACAGGUUAAGCUGACGAGUGGCGAACGGGUGAGUAAUGUAUCGGAACGUGCCCAGUCGUGGGGGAUAACUGCUCGAAAGAGCAGCUAAUACCGCAUACGACCUGAGGGUGAAAGCGGGGGAUCGCAAGACCUCGCGCGAUUGGAGCGGCCGAUAUCAGAUUAGGUAGUUGGUGAGGUAAAGGCUCGCCAAGCCGACGAUCUGUAGCUGGUCUGAGAGGACGACCAGCCACACUGGGACUGAGACACGGCCCAGACUCCUACGGGAGGCAGCAGUGGGGAAUUUUGGACAAUGGGCGCAAGCCUGAUCCAGCCAUGCCGCGUGCGGGAAGAAGGCCUUCGGGUUGUAAACCGCUUUUGUCAGGGAAGAAAAGGUUCUGGCUAAUACCUGGGACUCAUGACGGUACCUGAAGAAUAAGCACCGGCUAACUACGUG
rnacentral:rRNA from 1 species